UAGUCUGGGAUACCACUUGGAAACAGGUGCUAAUACCGGAUAAGAAAGCGGAUCGCAUGAUCAGCUUUUAAAAGGCGGCGUAAGCUGUCGCUAUGGGAUGGCCCCGCGGUGCAUUAGCUAGUUGGUAAGAUAAAGGCUUACCAAGGCGAUGAUGCAUAGCCGAGUUGAGAGACUGAUCGGCCACAUUGGGACUGAGACACGGCCCAAACUCCUACGGGAGGCAGCAGUC
rnacentral:rRNA from 1 species